UACGUAGGGUGCGAGCGUUGUCCGGAAUUAUUGGGCGUAAAGAGCUCGUAGGCGGCUUGUCGCGUCGGAUGUGAAAGCCCGGGGCUUAACUCCGGGUCUGCAUUCGAUACGGGCAGGCUAGAGUUCGGUGGGGGAGAUCGGAAUUCCUGGUGUAGCGGUGAAAUGCGCAGAUAUCAGGAGGAACACCGGUGGCGAAGGCGGUUCUCUGGGCAUUACCUGACGCUGAGGAGCGAAAGUGUGGGGAGCGAACAGG
rnacentral:rRNA from 1 species